AUUAGCUGCGGUACGAGAAGCCACGCGGAUUUAAUUUUACAUGAUCAAAUUUUUCGCGUGGUGUAAUUUAAAUUACCGCACUUGUACGAAACUGUCGUUGGAUUUGUCAUUUGCCAAAGUUGAAAUUCAGAGCGAGCGGACCGAUAUCGGAAAACUCUUCGAACGACUCGAGAGAAAGGAAAACUAAAUAAAGAAAUCGAAAAACGACGGAUGUGUCAGAUCCCAAUAUUCGCAGACUAUUCAGAAUGCGGGCGGAGCGAAAGCUGGCGCAAGUUGCCGGAAUGAAAAAAAAAAACAAAAAAAAAGGAAAAAUAAAAAAGUAGCACGAAUUGAGUGUACACGGUAUACAUGCGCAGAUCGUGGGUUAAAUAUAAAAAUUCAAGAGCGAGGUCCAGCUAUCUCCCAUUUCGGACUAGAUGAGAAAAUUUCACCUACGUACUUAUUCCAGCUGUGGAGAAAAAAAUAUUCCCUCCGCGCCCCAGCGUUCCAGAUGAGAUAAACCCAUUAUUUUCAGGUCUCUCCCCCACCUCCCCUUACGCCCCCAAAUUUCGAUACGAUCCAGCCCGAUCAAACUCCAACCUGAUUUUUGGUCGUUUAUGAAAUUAAAUUCACCCCUGCCAUCCAGAGAUUUUAGCACGCGGUGUGAAAUUUUAUUUUCUUGGUAGAUUUAAUUAAAACGCGAUACAACGAUUUUAUCAAUCGAGUAAUCAAGGGAAAUUAACAUUCCACAUAAUUUCUUCAUUUCUCUAAUUCGCGUAUAACUUUUACGCUGGGAUUGAUUACUCGAGGUGAGGGAGGACGAGGGAGGAGGUUCAAUCAUUCUACCUACACCCCGGAUUCGUGCGCUGACAUGUGCCGUCCACGAUAUAACGAUAGGCAUAAUAAAAGUUUUUAGAUGGUUUCAGAAAAGUAUGAAUAAUACCGUGCGGUGUAUACGCAAAGGUCACAGUUCGCAUGAAUGAACCUUCCCUACCUACCUACCUACCUACCUACCUUGUCCGGGGUACGCGUUGGUCGCCGUGACCGUAGCUCAGGGUAUUUUAGCGAGCCGGGAAAAUUCAUUGAUUUUUCCACCACACUCCAAACGCACCGGAAUUCAUGUAUAUCUAUGUCGUACGUAUGAAAGGAACGUUACCGCCGGGUUGAUGAUGAAAAUUUUUAUUUUUUUUUUGUUUUUCUUUCAUACCAACGCAGCACGUGGCGAGGAAUGAAAAUUUAUCUUUGACGUUUUAAUCUACUCCGUAUGAUUUAGCGUAGAUUUUUUUCGCUCAGUUUAUGCGACCUGAAAUUAAUUGAAAAAAAAAAAACCGAAGAAACGGUUGCUAAUUUCUGAUUUCGGACUCUAGAUCGAAAAGUCUGCGAAAAUGGAAUAAAAUGGAGAUGGAAAAUCGUCACCUCGUUGUACGGAAAAUUUCAUGCUUUUAGGAAACGGUGCGAAGCGACCCAAUCGGGCUUCCGUGUGACAUCAGAUUGUAGUCCCGAAGCCCCUGGUCGCCGGUCGGCGGUCGGCUUUAAAGUUACGUCACUUUGACCUUCAACCCAGUUUCGUGGGUUGGGUUACCGAUCCCGCAACAUGCCGGACGAUAUCUGCUGCAUGACGGGUGAAAAGUUCGCAGGACCCAACCCGGCCACACGUCACGGAGGAACAAGAGCGGAGAAACGCGAGGCUGCUUUUUAUCGGGUGACUCGUCGCGUCUCGCCCCGUACCGUAAGGUUCGCGCGGCUAAUCGUGAAACGAGGGACAAAAUACAGGUCAUAAAACAGGGCCGGAAAUUGCCACAGGAUGAAACAUCGGCAUGCGAUGUCGAAUCUGUAAUGUAACGCGAUUUUUCUCCGCGUAUAUUUGUAUUUUCCGAGGACGAUAAUGACGCGCGGUACAACCCAUUGAACAAAGUAUCAUUGAACAAGGUUUGGUUAAAUGUUUAUAGCGGGUAGCCGCAAGGCGAUUCUUGAGAGGAACGAUUCUCUUGCAAUCUUUGCAGAAAUUGUGGUUUUCUCAAUAAAUUUACCACCGCCUCAUUUUCCGCCCGUAUACACGUACGCGUCAUACGUUAUACGCUCAACGCUGGCAAAAUUCCCAUUCGAUGUCGUUAUAAAUACCGUACGGGGGCAGCGCGCUGCCGGUUAACUUAUAAGAAUAAUCGUUCGAAUAACGUAUAUACCAUACAAUAAAUAUGGUAUAACUCUACGUACGCAUAGACAUGGGACCAAAAAAACUUAUGUGCGGAAGUUGUCGACGCUAAAUUUAUCAGUGUAUAUCCUACCCGUGCUACGGUAACCCACGCCCACGACUACCCUUGAUUUCGGUUGUUAGGGUCCGAUGGGAGGUGAAACACACAUACUCUACCAAAAAACACACACACAAAAUGAUUCACAUUGUCACAAUCUCCCGGAGUAAUUUUUUCUUUCCACAGGUGCGUAUCUAAUUGCGGAUGUAUUCGAUCGUUCGACAUGGGACGUAAUUGGUUCGUUGUAUCGUUAUCGAGGUGAUAAAAUCAUGCGAAAUUUUUUUCAUUCUCUCGGUCACAUUUUAACUGGAAAAUAAACGCAUGAUCUAGCGAAGUCUAGCUGCAGUAUAACUAGGUACAUACGAGUAUGUACGGCGGUCGAAGAUGGAGAAACUAAACUGGUAGUCUGGGUAUCUACUUAGGUAUACUUGUGCGAAAAAUCAUACACGAUAUAAAUCAACCGAUCCACGAUCUCAACUGCGAUAAUGACGAUGAAAAAUUAAAGAUGGAAUUACUGCCAAUCUACCGUACACGAAUUUCAUUCGGUUACAGAGCCUGGGAAAAUUGCGAGGACAUACAUAUUCGCUCCGGUUUUCGUACGUAUAUGUAUACAGAGUACACGCGGCAGCGCGAGACGCAGACGAAUGACAAGGCGAUUGAUGAUCUUCAGCUGUAUGGCGUACGAUGGAAAUACGCGAGUACAUUGAUCCGCGUCCUUUGAAGCUAUCCGCGCGGAUACAUUCGAAAAAUAAAAAUUGAAAAAAAUUUCAAGACAAAAAAAAAAGAAGGAAAACGAACACAGAUACGUGUGAGCCGGUGUUUUUAUUUAUAACAUUUAAAUUUAUACAUGUAUACGUAUGUAACAAUAUAUACACGGGUUAUAUACAAUGCGUGUACGUGUAGAGUGUGUGCAACCGCGUUAGUUCUACACGAAGAACGAUU